AGGAUAUGGAAAGCCAAAAUUCCUCUCAAGAUCAAAAUCUUUUUAUGGCAGUUAUCCCAAGACGCAGUACUCACAAGACAAGUGAUGAGGGAAAGAAAGUGGCCAGGGAAUCCUCGUUGUUCUUUCUGCAGGGAGGUAGAAACCUCUAAGCACCUUCUUUUCACUUGCCCCGUUUCUAGGGUGGUUUGGAGAUCUAUUGGGGCAGUAGUGGGCACUGAUAUGUGCCCCAAGAACUAUUGGCAAUAUUUCGUCUGGUGCAGUAAAUUUCUUCCUGGCAAAGAAACCUUCUAUACUGUGGGCUUAGCUGCUACUUGUUGGGCCAUCUGGCUGGCGCGUAAUCGAGCCACUUUUGAGAAAAAACAGAUUAAGACUCCUUUUGAGAUUGUUUUCUCCUUUGUUUAUUUCUAUUGUACUGGACAGGUUUGCAAAAAGGAGAGGCGGCUGGAGAGCUUCGUGCAGGUGCAAAGAUGA
rnacentral:rRNA from 1 species